UACGUAGGGUGCAAGCGUUAAUCGGAAUUACUGGGCGUAAAGCGUGCGCAGGCGGUUUUGUAAGUCUGUCGUGAAAUCCCCGGGCUCAACCUGGGAAUGGCGAUGGAGACUGCAAGGCUAGAGUUUGGCAGAGGGGGGUAGAAUUCCACGUGUAGCAGUGAAAUGCGUAGAUAUGUGGAGGAACACCGAUGGCGAAGGCAGCCCCCUGGGUCAAAACUGACGCUCAUGCACGGAAGCGUGGGGAGCAAACAGG
rnacentral:rRNA from 1 species